GUAUCCUGAGAUAGAAGAGGAAGAAGAAGGUGAGAUAGAGUAUGUUGAAGGUGAUGAUAUCGAGAUGGGUGACAUGGAUGAUAUGGAAGAUUUUGAAGGCUUUGGUGAUGAAGAUGGUGGAAGAAGACGAGGACAGGGGUAGCAGGCAAAGGACGCGAAUGUGAUUCUCCAGGCAAGGCUUCAG